rnacentral:rRNA from 1 species
UCGGGAAUUUUGGGCAAUGGGCGAAAGCCUGACCCAGCAACGCCGCGUGAAGGAUGAAGUAUUUCGGUAUGUAAACUUCGAAAGAAUAGGAAGAAUAAAUGACGGUACUAUUUAUAAGGUCCGGCUAACUACGUGCCAGCAGCCGCGGUAAUACGUAGGGACCAAGCGUUGUUCGGAUUUACUGGGCGUAAAGGGCGCGUAGGCGGCUUUGUAAGUCACUUGUGAAAUCUCUGAGCUUAACUCAGAACGGCCAAGUGAUACUGCAGAGCUAGAGUGUAGAAGGGGCAAUCGGAAUUCUUGGUGUAGCGGUGAAAUGCGUAGAUAUCGGAAGGAACAUCGGUGGCGAAGGCGUCUACCUGGCCUAAUACUGACACUGAGGCACGAAAGCGUGGGGAGCAAACAGGAUUAGAUACCCCGGUAGUCCCUGAGCGGGCUGGCAAGGCGCAU